UUUUUUUCCUUUUUAAUGGGAGAUAUUACGGCAUGUUUGAUCACUGGCAAAAGCAGUCCAGAAGAGAGGGAAAAUUGCAGGAGAAAGAAAGGAUGUCUCUAGGAGUGAUGGCCUAGAACAACCAAGGGAGAAGGGUGCAGAUUACCCAGGACAAAGGCAGGUGGAUUGAAAGGUGUGCUAGCCCAAGUGUUUAUUCUCUUCUCUUCUGUUUGCAUUGUUUCCUAGGUGAAAUGUGAAGCAAGCUCAUCACCAGAGAGGCCAGUGAGGAUGUUGGAAGGUGGAAAGAUAAGAGCACGUGUGAUAUUGUCAACUAGGAGACAGGGAAGUCUUCUUACAUUGCAUCACUCUAACCUCCUCUUUUCCCUCCUUCUUCCACAUUUAAGGACUCUUGUGAGCACAUUGGUCCACCUGGAUAAUGCAGGUUACUCUCCCCAUCUCAAGGUCUUUAAUCACAUCCACAAAUUCCCUUUUGUCAUGUAAGGUAACAUAUUCAUGGGUUGCAGGGAUUCAGGCAGGGUCCAGCUUUAGCAGGGGCCACUAGUCUCCCUACUAUAGGCAUAAAACAGAUCAAGAAUCAAGCCAGGCUAACUUCUUGCAGUCCACACACAGGCCACCCCUCCAGGUUUGGCAACAUCUCCUCUAAUCACCAGAGUUUUUAACUAAUUCCUCUGUGGUUGGGAGCAGCCGCAGGGGAGAGGGGUGGCAAUUAGAGGUAGGUGGCUAGUGGUCGGGUCAUCAGCAGCUGAGAGUCUAUAGUUUACAAGAACAAAACUACCCCUUUCCAAAUGAUCGCCCUAAGAAUUCCACCCCAGAUGGGACACGGAGUACAGGCGUGCCUCAUUACAAGUAAACGUCACACGAGGAAAGCUGCCCUGACCCACUCAGAUAAUUUGCCAAAGCAAGGAAUCACCACGGCGAAGUCAACCAAGCCUCACCCUGCUGGAACUGCCAGCGGUUUGCACCACUUAAACGUCUCCUAAUGGGCUAAAGCAGUUGCUAAUGGGCUAAUAAGCUGGCCAUUAACAGCUUCUUAAGUAGCAGACUGGGGGAGCCUGUGAUUCUAGUUACAGCCCCUGAGAUUGAGCUGUCGUCUCAGUUUAUAAAAGCCCCUAAAUUGGGGCAAGAACUCUUUCCCCUAAAGGUUGAUUUAUUUGCCUCCAAAUACCAAGGCAGCAAUUGUUCAAGUUACCAAAGAAUUUCUCCCUUCAUGAAAAUAUUCGCUCUGAAGUUCCCUGCCAGGUUCUUCCUUUGGGCAUUUAAAUGUUGGUUUACAGACCCUGAGUUAUUUCCAGAGACACUAAGGAAUAGAGACAUUUUUUAACGGAACUUUAAGACAUACUGUUUAAAAAUCAGUCAGAAAUGAAGAUAGAGCCUCAUGACAAUCGUAAUACAAAUGUCCCCCAGCAU
rnacentral:lncRNA from 1 species